AGUCUCUUAGCUCAGUUGGUUAGAGCACCACCCUUAUAAGGUGGGGGUCGUUGGUUCAAGCCCAACAGGGACCA
rnacentral:tRNA from 1 species